GAAAUGCGAAAAGUAAUGCGAAUUGCAGAAUUCAGCGAGUCAUCGAGUUUUUGAACGCACAUUGCGCCCGCCGGUAUUCCUGCGGGCAUGCCUGUCCGAGCGUCAUUACGCACCCUCAAGCCCGGCUUGUGUGAUGGGCCCUGGCGUCUCGUUCGCGAGACGGGCCCGAAAGGCAGCGGCGGCGUCGACCCGAUGAGCCCGAGCGUAUGGGGACUUUUGUCACACGUUUGCGGUGCGGACCGGCGCCUGCUUGACUUUUCUGAUUAUCCAGGUUGACCUCGGAUCAGGUAGGGAUACCCGCUGAACUUAAGC
rnacentral:misc_RNA from 1 species